GUCAACAGUAAUUCUCUAAGUGGUGAAAUAUGUGCAUUGUUGAGAAAAUGGCUAUUAAGUGAGAGAAAACUUUAGCAGAGGUGGAAAAGGAAGUUACAUUGCUGGAUUUGGUAAGUCUUCUUGAUCUAUCAAGAAGAUAGAUCUCUCAAGAAGAUAUCAAGAUUUGGCCCCAAGAGGUUGAAGAAUUAGAUGCAAUUGUCCCCGACCGUUUGGAACUUACAAGUUCACAUGAGAAUUGAAGAGCCAAGAAAAUUCGUGUGUGUGAAACCAACAGCAAGAACUCAGGCUGGUGUGUCAGCUAAGGCAUCGCAGGAAACCGAUAAGCAGAACAGAAGGGGAAAAGCGCGGCACCCUGGAGAGGUCCACUUGGAGCACGUGGGGUUUCUUCCCUUCUUUCUGUGGCUCAAACCACCCGUUAUUCAUACUGUUUGGUCGCCUUUUUCUUCACUCAACAAUAGUCCAGAUGCAUAUGCAUUCUGGGGGGCUUGCUCCAGUGCCCGGCACCAGAGGGGCAGGACAUCUAUUUCUCAGUCGUCCUUGUUGGCAUCUGUUUCCACCUUCCAGGGGCUGAUCCAUCCUUGCACUCAAGAAAGAAAAGAUCAUGAGAAGAAUAUUACAUGUUGGUGACUGAGGAAGCAGAUAAAAGGUUUGGGGUAGGGCUGCAUGGAGAAUUCCUAUGUGUGAGUAUCCUAGUAGGUGUGUGGAACAUGGAGUCUGAAAGAAGCAAUAAGAUGAAAAUUAAGACUUGUUUGGCCCAAGAAAUGAGGAUGUUGUUAGGGGAAAACUCAACCACGGGACCAACAUUCGGGAGCAGUGUUCAUAUUCCUAGGAACAUUGCAGAGCAAGGAAAGAUCUUAGAAAUACCAGGAAAUACAUCAAGAUUCACUGUUUUGAAUUCAGUUACAAAAAGAGCUUUUUGCCUAGAACUCAACUAGGACAACAGAGAAUCCAUUCAUUUAUUCAUUUAUUCAUGUUUACUCUUUCAAUACAUAUUUACUAAACUCCCACUAUG
rnacentral:lncRNA from 1 species